UCGUCAGCUCGUGUCGUGAGAUGUUAGGUUAAGUCCUGCAACGAGCGCAACCCUUGUUAUUAGUUGCUACCAUUAAGUUGAGCACUCUAAUGAGACUGCUGGGUAACCAGGAGGAAGGUGGGGAUGACGUCAAAUCAUCAUGCCCCUUAUGUCCAGGGCUACACACGUGCUACAAUGGUAGGUACAAUAAGACGCAAGACCGUGAGGUGGAGCAAAACUUAUAAACCUAUCUCAGUUCGGAUUGUAGGCUGCAACUCGCCUA
rnacentral:rRNA from 1 species